rnacentral:rRNA from 1 species
CCCGGCGACCGGCGGCACGGGUGAGUAACACGUAUGAAACCUGCCCGUAGCAGGGGGAUAAGCGGAAGAAAUUCCGUCUAAUACCGCGUAACAACCCAUGGAGGCAUCUCUGUGGGUUUAAAGGAAGCGAUUCCGGCUACGGAUGGUCAUGCGUCGCAUUAGCUUGUUGGCGGGGUAACGGCCCACCAAGGCGACGAUGCGUAGGGGUUCUGAGAGGAAGGUCCCCACACUGGUACUGAGACACGGACCAGACUCCUACGGGAGGCAGCAG